AUUGAACGCUGGCGGCAGGCCUAACACAUGCAAGUCGAACGAGUGGCGGACGGGUGAGUAAUGUCUGGGAAACUGCCUGAUGGAGGGGGAUAACUCCCGGAAACGGUAGCUAAUACCGCAUACCAUCAGAUGUGCGCAGAUGGGUUUAGCUAGUAGGUGGGGUAACGGCUAACCUAGGCGACGAUCCCUAGCUGGUCUGAGAGGAUGAACAGACACACUGGAACUUAGAAACGGUCCAGACUCCGACGGGAGGCAGCAGUGGGGAAUAUUGAACAAUGGGCGCAAGCCUGAUACAGCCAUGCCGCGUGUAGGAAGAAGGCCUUCGGGUUGUAAAGUACUUUCAGCGGGGAGGCGUUACCCGCAGAAGAAGCACCGGCUAACUCCGUGCCAGCAGCCGCGGUAAUUC
rnacentral:rRNA from 1 species